AUACGGAGGAUGCGAGCGUUAUCCGGAUUUAUUGGGUUUAAAGGGAGCGUAGGUGGGAUAUUAAGUCAGCUGUGAAAGUUUGGGGCUCAACCUUAAAAUUGCAGUUGAUACUGGUUUCCUUGAGUACGGUACAGGUGGGCGGAAUUCGUGGUGUAGCGGUGAAAUGCUUAGAUAUCACGAAGAACUCCGAUCGCGAAGGCAGCUCACCGGGCCGGAACUGACACUGAUGCUCGAAAGUGCGGGUAUCAAACAGGAUUAGAUACCCUGGUAGUCCGCACAGUAAACGAUGAAUACUCGCUGUUUGCGAUACACGGUAAGCGGCCAAGCGAAAGCGUUAAGUAUUCCACCUGGGGAGUACGCCGGCAACGGUGAAACUCAAAGGAAUUGACGG
rnacentral:rRNA from 1 species